CAGCCAGGACUUGUACAUCUAGUGGCCUUAGGGCCCUGGCUCAUGCUCACGAUGGACAGACGCAGAAGGGGUGCCCCAGGUCAGCCUUGGUUUGGGGCUGAGGCCCUGUGUGACUGGGCUGGGUGGGGUGGCCGCUGGAGUAUCCUGCAAGACACCCCCAUGCUGCCAUGACAGAGGGGCCUGACGGUGGGAGGCUGCAGGGGGACCCUGGUAGUGGCUGCUUCAGACAGGGGUCCUGUGUCCCCUCAAAGACGCAUGGAGGACCGUGGAGCCUGUAACUGCGGGGCCACUCUCCACGCCAGAGCCGGGAGACCCGGUGGAAAUGUGCAGGCCACGUCACGCCCACACCUAAGAAAACGUCCCAGUCCUGACGGCACCAGCAAACAAGCAGUUAAAAGUAUUCCGUGGUUGAAUUCAUGUGGAGGUCAGAGUGGAAGCAGGUGUGAGAGGGUCCAGCAGAAGAAAACAUGGCUGCCAAAGUGUUUGAGUCCAUUGGCAAGUUUGGCCUGGCCUUAGCUGUUGCAGGAGGCGUGGUGAACUCGGCCUUAUAUAACGUGGAUGCUGGGCACAGAGCUGUCAUCUUUGACCGACUCCGUGGAGUACAGGACAUUGUGGUAGGGGAAGGGACUCACUUUCUCAUCCCAUGGGUACAUAAACCAAUUAUCUUUGACUGUCGUUCUCGGCCACGUAAUGUGCCAGUCAUCACUGGUAGCAAAGAUUUACAGAAUGUCAACAUCACACUGCGCAUCCUCUUCCGGCCCGUUGCUAGCCAGCUGCCUCGCAUCUUCACCAGCAUCGGAGAGGACUAUGAUGAGCGCGUGCUGCCGUCCAUCACGACCGAGAUCCUCAAGUCAGUGGUGGCUCGCUUUGAUGCUGGAGAACUAAUCACCCAGAGAGAGCUGGUCUCCAGGCAGGUGAGCGACGACCUUACAGAGCGAGCAGCCACCUUUGGGCUCAUCCUGGACGAUGUGUCCUUGACACAUCUGACCUUCGGGAAGGAGUUCACAGAAGCAGUGGAAGCCAAACAGGUGGCUCAGCAGGAAGCAGAGAGGGCCAGAUUUGUGGUGGAAAAGGCUGAGCAGCAGAAAAAGGCGGCUAUCAUUUCUGCUGAGGGCGACUCCAAGACAGCUGAGCUGAUUGCCAACUCACUGGCCACCGCAGGGGACGGCCUGAUCGAGCUGCGCAAGUUGGAAGCCGCGGAGGACAUUGCGUACCAACUGUCACGCUCUGGGAACAUCACCUGCCUGCCAGCGGGGCAGUCCGUGCUCCUCCAGCUGCCCCAGUGAGGGCCCACCCUACCUGCACCUCCACGGGCCGACUGGGCCACAGCCCCAGUGAUUCUUGACACCGCCUUCCUUCUGCCCCCACCCCAGAAAUCACUGUGAAAUUUCAUGAUUGGCUUAAAGUGAAGGAAAUAAAGGUAAAAUCACUUCAAAAAAAAAAAAAAAGUAUUCCAUGGCUUCCAGGGUCACAGAGUGGAGCCUUCCCCAGAGUCAGAAGCCUGCGUCCAGGGUCACUGCCCCCGCAGAGCUCAGAGCCCAGACCUCCCUGCCCACUCUCUUUGGGAGUGAUGGCUCAGCAAAGA